rnacentral:rRNA from 1 species
CCUACGGGUGGCAGCAGUGAGGAAUAUUGGUCAAUGGGCGCGAGCCUGAACCAGCCAAGUAGCGUGAAGGAUGACUGCCCUACGGGUUGUAAACUUCUUUUAUAAGGGAAUAAAGUGAGGCACGUGUCCCGUUUUGUAUGUACUUUAUGAAUAAGGAUCGGCUAACUCCGUGCCAGCAGCCGCGGUAAUACGGAGGAUCCGAGCGUUAUCCGGAUUUAUUGGGUUUAAAGGGAGCGUAGGUGGGUUGUUAAGUCAGUAGUGAAAGUUCGCGGCUCAACCGUAGAAGUGCUAUUGAUACUGGCGGUCUUGAGUGCAGUUGAGGCAAGCGGAAUUCGUGGUGUAGCGGUGAAAUGCUUAGAUAUCACGAAGAACACCGAUUGCGAAGGCAGCUUACUAGACUGCAACUGACAUUGAUGCACGAAAGCGUGGGUAGCAAACAGGAUUAGAUACCCUGGUAGUC